ensembl:lncRNA
CUCUCUCAGAGAGUUUAUUUUUUAACAGGGCAACACAAGGAGAAACUCACAGAACAAGAUGCAGCAGCCAAGAAUUGAGAACAACAGUCUGCAGUCAGCAUGUGAAUUCAGUACUUUUUCCUUCAAAGGAAGAUAACAGGAAAGCAACGACAACAAAAAAAAUGAAAACUGCAAGAAAGUGUGAGGCAUGGGGUUAUGAAGGAUAAUCCUGACUGCACUGGAGCAAUGGCAACAUUUAUAUAGCAAUACUGAAAGGGGUUUGAAAUGAUCUGCCCAGCGAGGUUGUGCUGCAUCCUUGGAUGUUUUCAAGACUUGAAAAGAUAAAGCCCUGAGCAAUCUGGUUUGAGCUCGGAGCUGACCCGGUUUUGUGCAAGAGCUUGCCCAGAGUCACCUUCCAACCUGAAUUAUCUUGUGAACAUAUGAAAAAUGAAGGAGGUAAGCAGAGA